rnacentral:rRNA from 1 species
UACGGAGGGUGCAAGCGUUGUCCGGAUUCAUUGGGUUUAAAGGGUGCGUAGGCGGUCUUUUAAGUCAGCGGUGAAAUCCCCCGGCUCAACUGGGGAACUGCCGUUGAUACUGAGAGACUUGAGUUCGUCCGAGGUCGCUGGAAUGCGUGGUGUAGCGGUGAAAUGCAUAGAUAUCACGCAGAACACCGAUUGCGAAGGCAGGUGACUGGGACGCGACUGACGCUGAGGCACGAAAGUGUGGGGAGCAAACAGG